UGGGGAAUAUUGCACAAUGGGCGCAAGCCUGAUGCAGCAACGCCGCGUGCGGGAUGACGGCCUUCGGGUUGUAAACCGCUUUCAGCUUCGACGAAGCGCAAGUGACGGUAGAAGCAGAAGAAGGACCGGCCAACUACGUGCCAGCAGCCGCGGUGAUACGUAGGGUCCGAGCGUUGUCCGGAAUUAUUGGGCGUAAAGGGCUUGUAGGCGGUUUGUCGCGUCGGAAGUGAAAACUCAGGGCUUAACCCUGAGCGUGCUUUUGAUACGGGCAAACUAGAGGGAUGCAGGGGAGAACGGAAUUCCUGGUGGAGCGGUGGAAUGCGCAGAUAUCAGGAGGAACACCGGUGGCGAAGGCGGUUCUCUGGGCAUCUCCUGACGCUGAGAAGCGAAAGCGUGGGGAGCAAACAGG
rnacentral:rRNA from 1 species